GUCCUCCGACAUGGCAGUAAACUCUGGUCACUCAUUAGUACAGUUUGAGCCAGAAGCGGAGGAGGCUGCAUCGCCUUUGAAUACAGAGGAGGAUGACACAUGGCGAAAAGUGAAAUCUAGACGUGCCCUGCACAGGGUAACUGGAUCGAUAGCACAUCCAGGGAUGACUCUUCCACAUCCUGGAGGGAUAGGUCCUGAGAAGGUCUUGCACCUGUGCACCAGAAGCCAUGAAGAAGAAUGUUCACAGCAAAGAUCUGGAAACAAUUCAAAUGACCACCAAGAGGAAAAGGAGUAAAUUCUUAAGGUGUGGGAUAGUCCUGCAACGGAAGACCAUUUGGCAGUGAAAUGGAAUGAAUGAACCACAGCUACACAGGUCAAUAUGGAUGCAUCUCAAAAACAUAUUAUUGAGUGAAAAAAAGGAAAGUCACAGCCUGAAAGAGAAAAGGGGCAUCCAUGUCUGCUCUGCGCUUCUCACAUCCGUUCCUUCCCUGGCCGAGCUCUAAGGUCUCUCCCCGCUGGGUGAGAGUCAGAGGAUGAGCUUCUCUUUGUAAUUCAUCCUUGCAGCAUAUAUUCACGGCUCCUGUGCAGGGAAAAUUACGGUGGGCUUUUGCCACCAGAAGACCCUGCAUCAACAGCUGUGCUGCACUGGGAGCCUGGAGAACACACUGGUGAGCCUGAGAACGGGUGGAUGCUGAAUGAACAGGGUUUCCAGCUCAGCCUGGGUGGAGAGCGGAGCCCUCCAUUCUGAUGAGAAUGGUGUCAUCACGUCGAGGCCCAAAUUGCACCCCUCACAUAAAACUGCCUCCUCUUCUCUCUUUCCUGCUUAUCCUUCUCUGGGAAGCAACGGCAUCCAACCGGUUUUUCUCCAUGGUGCUUUGUGUACUUCCUCCUGCACUUGCAGGGCAGCAGGUGAUCACGCCAAGUGUAUCUGGUGGAACGUCUGCAGUCUAACUCUGAGCAGUGGUUACAGAUCUCUGGGAGACGUGCCUGCAGGGGUGGUGUGUGCACGUGCGGUAUCAACAGCCAUCAGUGCGCAUGGAUGGAAAGUGCCGUCUGCGGAGAUUCAGGCGAUCAAACCUGAUGUCCCCCUGCGCCUGGAAAGGGAAUCUCUGGGAGACAGGAAGGAAGGAGAUUUUCAUCAUAACCACUCUGUCAUCUUCAUUUCUCAUCUUAGUAUAUACUUCACCAAAAACUUGGCAAUGACAGAGUUUCCUGGUUCAUCUAGGAAAGAUGACCACCUGGACCCAGAAAGUGUCUGUGUCCACAAAGCACUGCAGGUUAACGUCCUAAAGUUGGUUUCAGCUGUUACGUAGCUAGGUUUGGGGUCAAGGGAAGGUUUUAAAUUUUUUUCAAGCGCAAUGUCAUUUGCAAAAUCCUGCAGCUCCCACUAACUUUAGCCUGACUCCGUCGGCAUGUGAAGAUGGGUCUGACAGUUGGGAGCCUCAUCCCAGAUGAGGCCUUGAAGAGUUUGAUACCAGGCUAGGCUUUAUCCAAUGAUACGGAAUGUUUUUCUUCUAAGCAGACCCAUUCCCGGUGGCUAAAGCUAGAAGCUUAAUCUUAGCAAAUGCCAGGAGCUAGGUGGCCUUUAAAAGAAACCAUCUCUUGAUGAUCAUUAUGCAACUACAGAUGUUAUAAAUUCAUUUGAGUCAUAAAAAAAUUAAAUUAGAACAAAAUAAAAGAAACCAUCUCCUGGUUAUCCUUGGCAGAAGUAGGAACACUUUUAAAGGAUUCUUUUUUUUUUUUUUUUUUUUUUUUUUUGUCUUUUUGUCCUUUUAGGGCCACACCCACGGCACAGGGAGAUUCCCAGGCUAGGGGUCCAAUCCGAGCCAUAGCCGCCGGCCUACACCACAGCCACAGCAACGCCAGAUCCGAGCCGCGUCUGUGACCUACACCACAGCUCAUGGAAACGCUGGAUCCUGAACUCACUGAGCAAGGCCAGGGAUCGAACCUGCAACCUCAUGGUUCCUAGUCGGAUUCUCUUCCAUGGCGCCAUGACGGGAACUCCUAAAGAACUCAUUUUUGCAUUUGGCCCGUGUUUGGGAGAAAAGGUCUAUUAUGUUGACGGCUAUGGGGGAAAUUACAGGGAAAUUCCUCCCUGGCUCCUCCUUUGUUUCUCUCACUGAAAUCCAGCGAUGUUAUAAAGAACCUCAGCUUCAUUCCUCCAGAGAGAGAAUUUCCAGAAGAAAGGACGCCUCCUCUUCUUUUAAAAUACUUAAUCCUGUGAAGCUGUCCUGCUACAGUGCAGAGCACGAGCAGCAGUGAACACUUAGUGGAAAAGGCAAACACUUUUCAAAAAUGAGUUUCUCUUAGCUACCCAUUUCUACAGAAUGAGACUUUGGGAUAUAAUGAAGUUCUUUCUAGAAGAUAAAAAUGAGUAAUUUACUUUACAGUGAUCAUAAAUCUUAAUGACAACAUCUUUUUGUUUAAAAAGCCUAUUACUAUGACUCUAUUACAGAGACAUAAAAUGUCCUGGUAAAUAAGGAUAGAUAUGCGAAAAAGAGCAAAAAUACGAAAGUGAAAUAUCAAUGUCUAUUGACAGAAGGCAGCUGAAUAAAUUAUGAUUCAUCCAUCCAAUGUAAUAUUACACGACUAUUAAGAAGUCAAGUUUGAUCUAUGUAUGUUGCCUGGGAAGAUGUUUAUGAUGUUGUUAUGAGGAAAAACAAGUUUGCAGUGCUUUGUAUGAUAUGAUGCCACCGUUUUUUAAAGGUGCAAAUCCCACACAUGUGAAUAUAUGUUUGUUUGAACCUAGUGAAUGGACGAAAAGAUUCAUACCAGCCUUUAACUCUUGCUUUUUCUUGUGGUUGUUCUGGGGGCAGAGCUGGAAAGAAGUUAUUCAUUUUGCUAUAAA
ensembl:lncRNA